AGCACUGGCUGUGAAAAUCACUGAAGCUUCUUCCUGGUUCAGCUCAAGGCAAGAUUAGCUGCCAACUAGCCUUCUGCGGUCCACCUGCUUUCAGUCUCACAAUUACUUAUCAUUGGGAUUGUUAAUUUAUAUAACCUCUGUUUUGAGUGCCUGCCCUCCAAGUCAGGAAAUUUGUGAGAGGCUGUGAUUGCAUGCUGGAACAAGCCACCAGUUUACCCAUCCCCUGCUGCAGAGUCCCUGAAUGCAAGGACUAAUUGUGUGGGGAAAUGCAUUGAGGUUUAGGGGACCACUAAAACUUUCUGGAAAAAUUUCAAGAGGGCAACACAGAAACCUACUCCACUCUGAAACUCUUCUUCAACCUGGAUAAGACUCUCACACCCACUUCCAAACACUGCCUGGACGUCACUUACCCACGAUGUAUACUCCUUCAUUUGGUGCUGGUUGCUAUGAGAACCUCCGGCAUGGCCCCUCCAGAAGCAGUCCUGGCAAAGUUGGUAGUUGUGACACUGUUGGCAUCGGUAUCGGAAUCCCAUCAUGCUCUCACUGUGACAGUAAGAACACUCGACUGGAUGGAAGACUAGGGAGAAAGUAAAUGAGGGGAAAAAAGGAAAAACAAAAACAAAACAAAACAAAACAAAAAAAACAAAAGUAUGAGCUAGACUAAAGAAAACCUCAACUUUCAUAGAAUUCUAUUUUUCAGUUAUGCGCUCUGCUGACUUCAGACCAUGAUCUAUUUUGACUGAGAGAAGUGUUUCAUUUAUUCCUGGAACUGCCCUUUUCAAACAGGUGCAUGUUUGUACGUGGGGGUGAAGAGAGAAGUAGGUAUAAAAUGGGAUGAAGAAUAAAUGUCCUCUGGCAACACACUGUGAUGA